CGCCGGCUGCCGCGGGGCAGGGCGCCGCGGGAAGUGCGGUCGAGUCUCCAGUCCUGGAGCCCCGAUGUAGGAGGCGCUUGGCCACCAGCGUGUUAUGGAAAGCGGUGUCCCCGCCGCGUGUCUCUGCUCUCAGAGCGCUUCGUGGGCGUAAAGGGAAAACUGGCCCAGAGAAGCAGGGGAUUGGGCACAGUUUCCCGCCUCCCAUCCCCGCACAUUUGACAGACUGAGGGGAGCUGCGAACGAAGCACCAAGGGACGCUCUUAAAGGAGGCUAGAGGGGUGUGGCCUCGCAGAGGAGAUGGCGGUAGUGCUAGGGCAUGCAGGGUGUGAGCAGGUGUGUUCCUGGUAGUCUUUGGCUGGAGGGCAUUAUCAGAAAUGGAGGAUCCACAGGGAUUCAGCUGAAGCCCUCACUACCUUGGACUGGAACCCUUGACUCUAGUAAUAAUGUGCACAUCUGAGACCCCUCGUGUCUCUAACUAUUUGAGGUGCCAUCCUGCCCAUGGCUGGGAGGUGGGGGCUUCCCUGGUGGCGCAGCGGUUAAGAAUCCGCCUGCCAAUGCAGGGGACAUGGGUUCGAUCUCUGGCCCGGGAAGAUCCCACAUGCCACAGAGCAACUAAGCCUGUGCGCCACAACUACUGAGCCUGUGCGCCACAACUACUGAGCCUGCGUGCCAAGAGCCCGUGCUCCACAGUGAGAAGCCACCGCAGUGAGAAGCCCGCGCACCGCAACAAAGAGUAGCCCCCGCUCACCGCAACUAGAGAAAGCCUGCGCACAGCAACGAAGACCCAAUGCAGCCAAAAAUAAAUAAAUUAAAUAAAUAAAUAAAUUUUUUUUAAAAAGAUUUAAAAAAUAAAA